rnacentral:lncRNA from 1 species
UCUCAAGGAGCUUGCAGAAAUAAAAGUUCUUUUAAAAGAAGUUAUAGAAAUUAAGUUUCAGGCUACUGGGGUGAAGUUGCUAGAAUCAGUGGACGAAGUGGUUACACUGGAUAAUAAACUAAAAGAUAAAACCGACUUGAAAGUUUGAAAAGGAUUGGUGGUGGAAAGCCAAGUGAACAUGUUUUUUUGAUCAUAAAAAGGUUAUUUUCGAAUCAGUUACAGUCCAAAUUAAAUCAAAAAGGAAAUGGGGAAAAGAUAAGCUUAGAAAAUCUAGUAAAUAUAUGAAGUGUUUUAUGAGAUAUCGGCGACGUGGAAGAAGAUGUUGACGGCAAUGCAGAAAUAUAGUUUCAUAUGUAUAUUUUUGUGAAAUAAAAAU